GCGAUGCGGGGUGCUAUACUGCAGUCGAGCGGACAGAUGGGAGCUUGCUCCCUGAUGUUAGCGGCGGACGGGUGAGUAACACGUGGGUAACCUGCCUGUAAGACUGGGAUAACUCCGGGAAACCGGGGCUAAUACCGGAUGGUUGUCUGAACCGCAUGGUUCAGACAUAAAAGGUGGCUUCGGCUACCACUUACAGAUGGACCCGCGGCGCAUUAGCUAGUUGGUGAGGUAACGGCUCACCAAGGCGACGAUGCGUAGCCGACCUGAGAGGGUGAUCGGCCACACUGGGACUGAGACACGGCCCAGACUCCUACGGGAGGCAGCAGUAGGGAAUCUUCCGCAAUGGACGAAAGUCUGACGGAGCAACGCCGCGUGAGUGAUGAAGGUUUUCGGAUCGUAAAGCUCUGUUGUUAGGGAAGAACAAGUGCCGUUCAAAUAGGGCGGCACCUUGACGGUACCUAACCAGAAAGCCACGGCUAACUACGUGCCAGCAGCCGCGGUAAUACGUAGGUGGCAAGCGUUGUCCGGAAUUAUUGGGCGUAAAGGGCUCGCAGGCGGUUUCUUAAGUCUGAUGUGAAAGCCCCCGGCUCAACCGGGGAGGGUCAUUGGAAACUGGGGAACUUGAGUGCAGAAGAGGAGAGUGGAAUUCCACGUGUAGCGGUGAAAUGCGUAGAGAUGUGGAGGAACACCAGUGGCGAAGGCGACUCUCUGGUCUGUAACUGACGCUGAGGAGCGAAAGCGUGGGGAGCGAACAGGAUUAGAUACCCUGGUAGUCCACGCCGUAAACGAUGAGUGCUAAGUGGUUAGGGGGUUUCCGCCCCUUAGUGCUGCAGCUAACGCAUUAAGCACUCCGCCUGGGGGAGUACGGUCGCAAGACUGAAACUCAAAGGAAUUGACGGGGGCCCGCACAAGCGGGGGAAGCAUGUGGUUUAAUUCGAAGCAACGCGA
rnacentral:rRNA from 1 species